rnacentral:tRNA from 1 species
AGGGCCGUAGCUCAACUGGCAGAGCACCGGUCUCCAAAACCGGGGGUUGCAGGUUCGAGUCCUGCCGGCCCUG